rnacentral:snRNA from 8 species
AGCUUUGUGCAGUGGCAAUAUUGCAGCCAAUAAGGUUUAUCUGAGGUGCAAUUAUUGCCAGUCAAAGGGCCAAAUUAGCCAAGAUUAUUGCUAAUCUUCACCAAACAAGUUAUUCCAAGCUCCCAAAGUACUUUACAAGGUUGAGU